rnacentral:rRNA from 1 species
UACGUAGGGUGCAAGCGUUGUCCGGAAUUAUUGGGCGUAAAGAGCUCGUAGGCGGUUUGUCGCGUCUGCUGUGAAAAUCCGGGGCUCAACCCCGGACUUGCAGUGGGUACGGGCAGACUAGAGUGUGGUAGGGGAGACUGGAAUUCCUGGUGUAGCGGUGAAAUGCGCAGAUAUCAGGAGGAACACCGAUGGCGAAGGCAGGUCUCUGGGCCACUACUGACGCUGAGAAGCGGAAGCAUGGGGAGCGAACAGG